rnacentral:lncRNA from 1 species
AUAGGUUUUCCAAAGCUUGCCCGUUCUCAUCGUGAAAGGCACUAUAAGAGCUUUUCUUUCUCUCUUUUUCCUUCUGCUUUACAAGACUCUCAGAAAAACAGCUUCCUUGUCUUCCCAGGACAUGUCUGGACUGAGUGCGGCUGGAGCUUGCAUGGAGCACACAGAGGUAAGAGCAUGUGUCAGGUUAAGGUGGCUAUACUCAGAGCCAAGAACACGAUGAUAGAGGGGUCAAAGAGUAGAGAACUUCAGUAGCUGAACCACCUUCUUCAAUUGAGACCUGCUCAGAAUUUGAACCAGUAUUAUUUGACAAAUGAAAAGUCACUGGCUUUGAACUCACUGAGUUGGGCUGCUUCUACUAAAUGACAGGACCACAUCUGCACAGUUUCCUUUUCCUAUGUGAUUUUGUUCUGUAGAAGAAGUUAGUUCAGUGUAAAGUCUAAAACAUGUACUGUAAAGAUGUGAUUAGAAAUAAGAUAUUUAGCAGUAAAAGACUUAUAACAUUAAUAUAUUCAACUGGUGCUAUAAUUUGUUUCAGCUAUUACAAAAAACAUUCACUAUUUCAAUGAAUUCAUUAUUAUGCUUUCUUAGUUUUAGUAUAUUUUUAUUCAUUUAUUUUAAAUGUGUGCAUACACAUAUGCCACAGAGUGACUGUGGAGGCCAGAAGACUGACUGCCUGCCAAUGAUAGGCCUUUCCUUCCACGGUGUGGGUCCCAGAGAUCAAAUUCAGUUAUUUGUCUCAGUGGCCUGUGAAUUACCCACUCUGCCAACUUGCUGGAUUAUCUCAAAGUCUUCUUAAAGAGUUGCCCAAGACAUAAUGAGAAACUAAGUGGAAUUCCUUUGUUCAUUUCGAUAUUUAAUUUGCUGUGUCACAACUUGAAUGUCCUAGCAGUUGACUUGAAUGUUUUGGUAGAAGAAAUAGCCAAACAUUUUCAACAGAGACUUUAUUUCACAGAAAAUGAUAAUAAGGAAUUGUUUAGAAGGAUUGCUUGUUUUAUAAGAAGGCCCUUCCUAGAACCCAAUGACUAAAUGUCUUUGUAUUUACUAUGAUAUCAGAUGACUUUGCUACCUGAAGAAAAACUGAAAAGAAAAGAAAACACACGCAAAAACUUACUCCAAAUAUGAACAGCUUUGUGUUUGUUUGACUCUGCUUGGUUUAAAAAUGUACCUGAGGCAUAGAAUCCAUGGUAAAAAGCUGACCAGUCUAGUCUAUCUAGAAAUUCCUGGUGAUAUAUUUCUUUCAAAACCUCUUUCUAGCCCUGUGCUCUAUCUUCUCUUCUCAAUGUCUCCAUUUUUAAUGACUAUUUCAGAAUCUUGUACAUCAGUACUCCUGUGGUUACAAGUAGAUUUUCUUAAAGAUUUAGUACAGAAACCUUACUUAUAAAAUAAAAGCCAAGAGUCAAUGUGUUUUACUUUUUUUUUUUUUGUACAGAGAACACUGCUGGGGGGUUGGAGGGUGCGUGGGACACCAGAUCCAAGACUGCAAAUGUUUGCUACUCACAAUUUUUGUAUCACAAAUAGGAAGAGUUGUUAGGACCUAAAGUUCACACGAUGUUGGAUGUUAGGAUAUUUAUCAUGAAGGGGGAAUUAUGAAUCUCCAGGACUGGUCUAAUACUCAGGGUGCUUUACCCUUCACGGGUUCCCCUGUGAUGUUAUGCUAUGGGGGAGGAUCACUAGUUUAGAAUCAACCUCAAGGCAUCUCUACCUUGCUAAGCUCAGAGCAUGCUGGGUAGGAUCAGCUUCUAGCAUUUUCCAGACCAACGUCACUUUGUGCUUACUCAGUUCUAAUCCAGUAUGGGCCUAAUUUCUCAGAAUCAUCCCCCAAAAGAGAAAGUCCAACAAUAAUGCCAGGCAUUGCUGCCACUUAGGUUUUGAUGUCAUACUUCCAGUUUAGUCAAAUGGCCUCUUGAGGUAAUGAGAUACUGUUAAUCACUCUGUUUAUUGACCAACAGAAGACUGUCUUUAGAAUGUGGUCUGAUGAGCACUCGACUCUAAAUUAAAAGCUUAAGAACAAAGGACAGCAUCCACUCUCUGUAAAAUGUUAUCAAGCCCUGAAACACUAAGACCUGAAUAAGUUAGAAAAUAGCUUUAUUAUUUGUUUCCAAUGAAAAGAAGUUCUUGAAAUCCCAAGCUGAUUGCCAGUCAUUUCCUCCAACUACUUUUGGUGAAGACCGAUAAGUCUGAACAAGGUUUCUUGGUUGUUCACGAAUGGCUUUUAGGGCUGUGGCUCAUGGUAACGACUGCUGCUAAAACUGAGCACAAAAUUCAGAAGUGCCCUGAUGGCCCAGUUCAUUCAAUUACUUAAUGACUUGGACAGGAUGUAUGUAGACUAUUGAAUUACAGCAAGGAAGCAUUGUGUUCUGUAAGCCUUCCUGGAGGUGGUCCACUUUGCUAGAUGGCAGGCAGUUUCUAGAACUUUAGGCCUUUCUUUGAAUGAUUGUCUCAGUCCCUGGGUGGAAAGUAACUGAAGACAGGGUUUUUAGUUCUCAUUAUGCUGAUAACUUAUUAUUAGUCUAAACUUGUGUUCUAAUGUCCCACCUAAAAAGGCUGGCUAAAGUUCAUAGGGCCAGAUGAUCUCUACCCACUUCUAAAACAUGCUUGUGUAAUGGUCAUACUGGCAGUUAAUUUGUUCAUAAUUUGUAAUCAAAUUGAUGCAUUUUAGCUGUAUGUGUUGGUUUUGCUUACUUACAAUUUAUUAAUGAAUUGUUUCAGAAAUUAAAAUAAAUGAACAGUAGAUAGCAUAUUAGGCUGGCCCAUCAGCUUGUCCCUGUCAUGAUGAUUUUGUGUACUAAGUGCUGGGAGUCAAAUUCAGGGCCUUUUACAUGCUAAGCAUAUACCACCAAAUGCAUAUUGACAACCCCUAUAACAAAUAUUUUUUACAAAACACAAGAUCAGAUCAAUGAGGUUUUUGAAGAUCAGAAUUUCUUCUCUUUAUUUUAUUGACUACUUAAUCUCAACCUUUUAUUAUUAUUAUUAUCUUUAAAGUGUGCUCCACCAAGAAGAAAGGACUUGACAAAUUCUCUUGAACGAAAGAUAAAACACUUGGAAAAACAGAGACAAGAGGUAAUAUAGAAAUAUUAGAUAAAGUCACAUAGCCAUAUAUUAAGACUGAGAAUAAAAUAAGGUAUCCUUAAUGUUUUGUCAUUAAAUCACAGUGUUUAUCUCUACAGUACUAGACUACACUAUUUUAAAAGGAAAAGCUUUUAGAAAUCAUGUUUGUGCUAUGACAACUGAAAAAGUGUUGAUGUUAUGAAUGUGGUAGUUAUAACCCUGCUUUUGUAACUGUUGAUAUUUUCACAAUAUGCAUCGCAUCAUGGGAACUUAUUGCCAAUAACCUUGUAAACUGGCACAUGAAAAAAUCUGAUUUGUUAAAACCUUAUGCACAGUGGAUUAAAGUUCAGUGACUUCCUGAGUUGAUCGCAUUAAUCAAUGUGAGUUAUAAUAAAACCCUGUCUGGGGCUGGAGAGAGGUGCUCAGUAAACAUACUUGUUACUUCUGUAGAGGACUCAGGUUCAGUUCCCAGCACCCAAAUGAUGGUUCUUAACCAUCUGUAACUCCAGUCCCAAGAGCUCUUACUUAGGGCUUCUUCUGAUGUCUGAUGGUACCAGCCAUGUAUGUGGUUCACGUACACACAUGCAGGCUAAAUACCCAAACAGAUAAAAUAAAAAUUAAAAGUUAAUCUUAAAAAAAAAAGUCCAUAAAGUCUAAUGCACUAGAAGAAAUGUGAUUUCUAAGAUGUUGCUUUGAAUUAACACAUGUUGUUAGUUGUACUGCUGGCGUGUUCUUGAUCUGAUGGGUGUCAGAACUCUUCUUCUUGACAGAGGAGGUGAAAGGCGAAGCAGACACAUCACACUUGACUUCUGUGGUUCCUGUGCUGACUCAUUCUGUGCAGCUCAACUUCCUUGUUUUCUUCUUCAGAACCUUCUCCUCCCCUUUGAUGCUGGGCAGGGCCGUGCCCUUUUGGAAAAUCACUAACCUAUUACAGAAUGUCACCAUGGCAUAGUCCUGCAUGGCAGGAAGGCCAAGUAUCUUCAUAAUCUAUUCUACAGUUGUAUGCUAAGUAACUGUUAGAGUUCUCAGCACAAGAGCUUUCCAAUGACUGCCACUCUGGAUUAAGUUUUUUGGUUUUGUUUAUAUUUAGGUGGAAGUUUUGGAUUUUUAUUUAUUUAAUUAAUUAAUAUUUGUUUUUGGACAUUAUGUCUAUCUUCUUGAUAUCUGCCUCGUGCGGCUAACUGCAGAAUUGUGAACUUUUCUUACAAAAAAAUGAAACACAGACCAAGAUGGUUUUUUUUUCUUCUAGUUAGCAAAGAGUUUUAAAUGUAUUUUAAAUACUGUCUUAUGACAAAAAACAUACAUCACUCUUGAAAAAUCUAUACUUUCAGAAUGACUUUAUUUUACCUUCAUUCAAGAGGAAUCAAAAAUAUGUCUGUCUCCUGCAAACAAAUGAUAACAAUUAGUACAGUUUGUAUUUCAAGAUAAAUUCUUUGAAAAGCUGUAACAAGAAUUUAUUCUGGUAGACAUAGUAAACAAACAAGAAAAAUAUGAAAAGAGAGCCUUCACCUAAUAAUAAUUCAUACAGAACAUAAAUACUUACAAAAUUUCACCAGAUUCUGGCUGAAUUAAACAAAGA